GCCCGCAACGUCAGCUUUUGUGCUCCUCAGAUGCUGCUUGGACUGCUGUGUUCAUCCAGCCUCACAUUUUAUUAUGUUGGGAGAGAGAGCUGUUUUGGUUUGUGAUACAAGAGACGAGGCUGUCUCUGCCUUUCACCCAUCGGUAGUUCUCCUCCUGUCCCUGCCUCUCUGCACACACACUGCCAGGCAUAGUCUUCCUCCCUCUCUGUGUGUGUGUGUCUCUCUCGCUUCAGCUCCUAAAACGUAAGAUGCAUCGGAUAUAAAAACACGCACAUAAACACACACACACACACAUACAUCAACAAGCCAUGGGGAAAGAUCAGGAAUUACUGCAAGCUGUCAAAACCGAAGAUGUAGCUGCAGUGCAGAAGCUGUUGCAAAGGCCGAAACAAGGCAAAGCGAAACCAUACAAUUAGACUGUUUUGAUGAGGAACUUAAAGAUUACGAGUCCCGUCCGUUUGACUCAGAGUUUGGUACCAUCGGUUGGUACGAUCUUCGUUGGAGAAGGAAAAGGGAUGUUCCAGAUACAGAAAACCGUCAAACCAUUUACUACAAAGUCCGUUUCUGGGUGGAGUUAGUGGAACCGAAAAAGAUUUCUCCCUCACAGCGUUUGUGACAAAAGAAUUGCAUCGUUCCUUGGCGGCCUUUCAACAGAAGAAUAUUCAGAGAUUUCCCGAGUGUAAAUCCCCUUCCUCUCCUGUUCCUACUCACGCCUUUCCCCCGCUCUCCGUCGGCGACGAGUCCGCUGUCUGGAUCCCUUUUCCCAGGAGGGUUCUGAGGACCCAGCUGUUCGGCAGCGGGGAUCAUCGCACCACGCUCCCGGACCCCUACAACCUCAUGUUCUCCAGCGGCCUCCAGCAUGACCACCGGGCUGGGAGCAGGCAUCCGGGCUGCUGGAGCGCUCGCUGCUCAGUGGCUCGGCCCUGCGUCGGGAGCGGGGAUCCAAGGUGGGAGAAGGCCUCUUCACCCGGCGCCUGGGCACAGCUGCCUGGCACCGAGCCCGAGCAUCCGGCCACGGGUCUGCGACGCCUUCCGUAGCUGAGCAGCCUA